GGGCUUAACACAUGCAAGUCGAGGGGCAGCAUGGUCCUUUCUUGCUAAGGCCGAUGGCGACCGGCGCACGGGUGAGUAACACGUAUCCAACCUGCCGUCUACUCUUGGACAGCCUUCUGAAAGGAAGAUUAAUACAAGAUGGCAUCAUGAGUCCGCAUGUUCACAUGAUUAAAGGUAUUCCGGUAGACGAUGGGGAUGCGUUCCAUUAGAUAGUAGGCGGGGUAACGGCCCACCUAGUCUUCGAUGGAUAGGGGUUCUGAGAGGAAGGUCCCCCACAUUGGAACUGAGACACGGUCCAAACUCCUACGGGAGGCAGCAGUGAGGAAUAUUGGUCAAUGGGCGAGAGCCUGAACCAGCCAAGUAGCGUGAAGGAUGACUGCCCUAUGGGUUGUAAACUUCUUUUAUAAAGGAAUAAAGUCGGGUAUGCAUACCCGUUUGCAUGUACUUUAUGAAUAAGGAUCGGCUAACUCCGUGCCAGCAGCCGCGGUAAUACGGAGGAUCCGAGCGUUAUCCGGAUUUAUUGGGUUUAAAGGGAGCGUAGAUGGAUGUUUAAGUCAGUUGUGAAAGUUUGCGGCUCAACCGUAAAAUUGCAGUUGAUACUGGAUAUCUUGAGUGCAGUUGAGGCAGGCGGAAUUCGUGGUGUAGCGGUGAAAUGCUUAGAUAUCACGAAGAACUCCGAUUGCGAAGGCAGCCUGCUAAGCUGCAACUGACAUUGAGGCUCGAAAGUGUGGGUAUCAAACAGGAUUAGAUACCCUGGUAGUCCACACGGUAAACGAUGAAUACUCGCUGUUUGCGAUAUACGGCAAGCGGCCAAGCGAAAGCGUUAAGUAUUCCACCUGGGGAGUACGCCGGCAACGGUGAAACUCAAAGGAAUUGACGGGGGCCCGCACAAGCGGAGGAACAUGUGGUUUAAUUCGAUGAUACGCGAGGAACCUUACCCGGGCUUAAAUUGCAGAUGAAUUACGGUGAAAGCCGUAAGCCGCAAGGCAUCUGUGAAGGUGCUGCAUGGUUGUCGUCAGCUCGUGCCGUGAGGUGUCGGCUUAAGUGCCAUAACGAGCGCAACCCUUGUUGUCAGUUACUAACAGGUUCCGCUGAGGACUCUGACAAGACUGCCAUCGUAAGAUGUGAGGAAGGUGGGGAUGACGUCAAAUCAGCACGGCCCUUACGUCCGGGGCUACACACGUGUUACAAUGGGGGGUACAGAGGGCCGCUACCACGCGAGUGGAUGCCAAUCCCCAAAACCUCUCUCAGUUCGGACUGGAGUCUGCAACCCGACUCCACGAAGCUGGAUUCGCUAGUAAUCGCGCAUCAGCCACGGCGCGGUGAAUACGUUCCCGGGCCUUGUACACACCGCCCGUCAAGCCAUGGGAGCCGGGGGUACCUGAAGUGCGUAACCGCGAGGAGCGCCCUAGGGUAAAACUGGUGACUGGGG
rnacentral:rRNA from 1 species